rnacentral:rRNA from 1 species
UACGUAGGGGGCAAGCGUUGUCCGGAUUUAUUGGGCGUAAAGAGCGUGUAGGCGGUCAGGUAGGUCAGCUGUGAAAACUCGAGGCUCAACCUCGAGACGCCGGUUGAAACCAUCUGACUAGAGUCCGGAAGAGGAGAGUGGAAUUCCUGGUGUAGCGGUGAAAUGCGCAGAUAUCAGGAAGAACACCCGUGGCUAAGGCGGCUCUCUAGUACGGUACUGACGCUGAGACGCGAAAGCGUGGGGGAGCGAACAGG